CUCAGAGCGAGUUCGCUGCUGCUGGCGCCUUGCUGCUUGGCGAUUGGGUGCUUGGAGACUCCGGACCGGCUUGUGGAUCCUGGGUGGGCGUGGAGAGCUGCUUCAAUGGUUUGAAGCUGAGGACCAAACCCAGGGCUUUGUGCUUGCUAGGCAAGCGCUCUACCACUGAGCUAAAUCCCCAACCCCCCUUCGCUACCUUUUGAGCAGCCAAUAUCAGAACUGUUUCUGAGUUACGAGACAGGAUCCAAAGUGUCAGUGGAAAUCCCCAACUCCACUCUGCUGUGACCACUAAGGAUCAGCACACGUGCUCUGCUGCCUACCAUACCUACGUGCAUUGCCACAUAAUACUCUUGCAAGACAUCCAGAGAAAGUGGCUUGGAAUACAAUCAUGUUGUGUUAAAAUCCACUGCUCACAACUGAAGAAGCCAGACAGAUUGACACAUGCCGAGAGGCCUCGUUGAGAGAAACCCCUUGCUAAAACCUCACAUGAAUAUGGAAAGUAGUCGUCCCAACAGGUGUAUAUCAACACAAAAACAAUAAAUAUGAAAAAUAAAUAAUGAUGCCUCAUAAAGUUCAGAACUUCACAGAUAUAGAAGUGAAUGAUAUAGAAUUCAAAUGUAUGUUUUUUCUAAAAGCUCAAUAAUGUAUCUGAAAAUAAAUUUGAACAAUCAAAUUGACUAGAGAAAGCAAUUCAAAAUAUCUAUGAGAAAUUUAUUUAAUAAAGAGAAGUUCUUGGG
ensembl:lncRNA